UGCUUCAACCUUGGGAUGAUGUGCAGGCUCGGGCUUUGCUUUGGGGGUGUCCUUUUUAUUUAUCAGGAAGCAAAGGCCUGUCUGAGGCCAACACAGCCCCUCAUCUCACCUGGGUGCAUCUCAGCUCUGCAGCAGCCCCUCCCAGCUAGCAGGCAUGCUCGGCAGCUAAGCUAAAUGUGUUCCUGCUGCUCCCUGCAAAGCCUCAUCCAGAGUCCCCAUAUGAGGAGAGCUGGUGUUUGGGCUUUCCCACAUGAGUCUCCCCCCUUCAGUCUUUCCAGCAUUCUGGCCGGAGUUAGACCUGGAGGGAAUCCAGUCCUGGUUUUUACCCUAGGAAACCUGCUUAAGAAACAAGCCCCAUUUCUUGCCUGUGUUGAGGUACUGUGUUGGUGCAGAGUGAUGUUUCCUCUUGGGGCAAUGUCCUUCCUCUGAACCUCUGCCGACACCAAAGGUGGAAGCAGUGGGUCCUGUGGGUUUUGCAGCUCCUGGGUGAAAUCAGGCCGUGAUGCAAACAGCUGAGACUGUUAAAACCACAUUUGUCGUGGUUAGAGGGUAACCUCUGUGUGUGUCCCGUGACUGAGGAGGUCUGAAUGGAGUGUUUUGGAGUAACUUCUGGGUUCAUGUGGCUUUUCCAACCUCUGCGAGUUGACCACAACUUGGGUCUCUCUGUCCUUGGCUGGGAUGGGGCUGGGGUCUCUGACCUUCCAGGGGAUGAGUAGCUCCUGCUUUCACCAACAGUUUGUGGAGCCCAUUCGAGGUGGGAGAGUUGGAGUUUUUGCUCUACUCACUGCACAGUGGUUGAGUCAUUGUGAUGUUAACCAGAGCUCUGCUGUUACCAGUGUAUUUUGCUGUGUUUAUGUCCAUCCAGCUGUGUAGCCUCAGCCAGGAGCAGCUCAUGCCGCUUGUCCUGCGCCGUGCCAGUGGCCUUGCCUUGCAAAUACCUUUUGGCGUUGGCCUUUCAUCACUGGGGGCAUUGGAGGCCCUGGGUGCCAGCUGUCUCCCUCCUCACAAUUCAUCAGCCUGGUGUGCAGCCUGACUAGGGACAAAGGAGGUGUUUGGUCCAGGGGCUCGAUGCAGCCCCUCUGCUACUGAAACCUGGGCAGCAGCAGGGUCAAGGCAGACCACGACCUCCCUCCCUGAGGUGCAAUGGGUGUCUUAACCAAAACUGUUCCUCCUUCACAGCCCAUCUGCCUGCCAGCACAUCCGCAGCCUUUUAAAGACACGCCGGGAAAGCGCAGGGAGGGAUGGCAGGAAUAAUUAAAGGUACGAAGCCGUUUCCAUAGAAGGAACAAUUACAUAAACUGUCUCUCUUCCAUCUGGGGGAAGAGAUGACUGAAGGAGGCAUGACGGAGAAGAAUUAAAUCCUAUGUGGCGGGGGGAAGGUCUGCCUGGCAACUAAUCUUUAAUGUGCCAAUUGAGUGACAAGGUGUGUCAGGUUCACCAGGACACAAAGUGAUACCCAGCUGACUGCUACAGGAAGCUUGAUAGCUCCAUGGUGCUGCCAAAACUCACCUCUAAAAAAGACCUCAAAGGACCCAGAGGUGGUUUGGCAAGGAGAGUUUUCUGAAAGAACAGGCUGGCUUGCCUUUGUUCCAGUCUUGCCCCUUCUCCUUUGCCUCCCCAACUACUGACCCUGGGACCGCCCUGGCCCGGUGGCAGAUGGUGGUCAGUGUUGGGAAAAAUCGGGCAUUUAAAUAAGUAAGUUUUAAAGUAAGUUUAAAAUAGAUUAAAUCACUUGGAGACAAUCA